UACGUAGGGUGCGAGCGUUGUCCGGAAUUAUUGGGCGUAAAGGGUGCGUAGGCGGCGGGGCAAGUCUGAUGUGAAAUCCCGGGGCUCAACCCUGGAACUGCACUGGAUACUGCUCUGCUAGAGAUCUGGAGAGGAAACUGGAAUUUACGGUGUAGCAGUGAAAUGCGUAGAUAUCGUAAGGAAGGCCAGUGGCGAAGGCGAGUUUCUGGACAGAUUCUGACGCUGAGGCACGAAGGCCAGGGGAGCAAACGGG
rnacentral:rRNA from 1 species